GUUUGAAACUUCAAUUAAAGUAUCUUUGUCCAGAUUUCUCAAUUUGCCAUAAAAAAAACUCUACUCAUCUUGUCUUUCACAUGCUGAUGGCCUUGCAGGUUCAUAUGGCUUUGCUUGCUAAUGAAAAUGCACAACAAACAAUAUAAAGAAAAUGAAAAUAGCUACUAAUAAAAAAGAAUUUCCUUUUCAUGUGUAAGAGAAUUUAUUCAAAUGGCACCAAACUUACUGCUUUUUUUGGGCAUUGGGUUCAUAUUGUAAUUAAUUGACCACUAGGGUCUCUUCAAUUCAAACCAGAUUAGACUAGUUGUUCCAUGUAUAUUUUGUCCCUGGACUGGAUAAGUAUAUAUAGAUCAUACCAAGGAACUCGGAUGACAUUAUAAUAAGGAAUUCUUUUGCUUACGAAUUCUCCAAAAGAUAGGAAGUUGAUGGGCUAUUCUGCGUUUUCUCUUUCCUCUCAUAUGGCUUAUCUUUAAAAAAUGUCAAUUUAAAAUACUGUCAGAUACACUGAAUACUUAGCCAUUUGCAUUUGGUAUUUCUUAUUUGGAUUUCUAUUAUAUGGAUAAUGUUCAAAUGCAGCUUACUAUCAUCUCCUAUGCUUUCUCUUGGCAGCUUGUCU
rnacentral:misc_RNA from 1 species